rnacentral:sRNA from 1 species
GCGGUGUAAGCAGAAUUAAGGUUCUGCUACCUCUGUGUUUAGAAUAUUCCCAAUGGAUUUUUCAUUUUUCAGGUGCUAUUUUUUGACCAUAGACUUUAAUUUAAAAUGAAUUUGGUAACGUUUCUCCUCUAUCUCUACAUAUAUUUAUGCUUUUCACCUGCUCUUUUAACACCUGCUUUUAGUUUCUGAGGCACUUUUCUGAACUCUACUUGUGCACUGGAUCCCUCCUCUUUUCUCUGCCAGGCUGUGUUUACUUUAUCCUUACAUCACCACUUAGUGAUUCCUUUCUUUGUAUAAACAUGGUAAAUGUCUUCAUUAGCCUAAAAGGAAAGACCAAAUAAAACCUUUCCUACCACUUGGAUGCGUUUGCAUCCUGACUUCUGAAAUGCUUCCAGCCUCCAUUUUCUCCCUUCCCAGUUAUUCCUUAGCCCAACCAUCUCUAUUUUUAGCUCCUACAAUUUUCUUAGGAUAUUCUGGGAAAGAUGAGCGGAGACUGCCGGCCUUGUCAAAUCUAGUGUCUUUUUAUCAGUCCUCACACUGCUUGACCUAUUUAUAACCUCCUAUACUUCCCUCUUUGGAUACUCCUCUGGGUUUUCUGUGGUAGACAAGAUUCCUCCCUGAGAUUUAUUUCCCAUGAGUCUUGACCCCUCCCCUCAGUUGGUGCUAUUUUUCACCCUGGAUGAUCUUAUCAGAGCCCACAGGUUCAGUUUUCUUUCAUGCUACCUGAAUGUCCUGAUAAACUGGCUCUCUCUCUUCUUUACCUUCCAUAAUGGCAUUACCAUUUACCACUCCACCCAAGAUACUUACUAGGAACCUCAAAGUAUUGUAUUCUUUUUCUCCGUCCCACUCAUACUUAAUCAUCAAGUCCUUUUGAGCUUGUCUCCUCUUGCAUAUGUCCCUUCUUCAUUCCUGCUGCCUUCUUAGUAAAGGCCUUCAUUCUUUUUUCCCUAGUAAUAAUCUUUUCCAUAUAUUCCAGUUAAAAUACCACUUUCUCCCUAUUCCUUAUUACAUAGUUAGCAUUCCUUGAAAAAAAAAAAUUCUCUCAGGCCUCCAUACCUUUAACAUGUUACCCACUCUGCCUCUGCUCUUCUGGAACUAGAACACUCAUCCUUGAAGACUGGGCUUCUCUAUGAAGGUUGGUCCUGCCUCCUUAGUUGAGGUGAAGUUUUGUACAUGCCUGUAUUAUGGACAUCCUCUUAUUUAAGUGUUUUUUCGUCAUUGGGACUCCAGCACCCAGCAUAGUCCCUAGUAUACUAGUUGGUGCCGAAUAAAUAGUAGCUGUUAUUAGAAAAGGAAGGGUGAAAUUGACAUAGGAAUUACUAAAAUGUAUAUGGAAACAAUUUUUAAAGGGAAAGGUAAUGAUUUUCUGGCAGGAAAAGCAGCAAUGAUAAGAUUACUUAAGGCUUGUGAAAUACACUUCUCUUCCUUGACCUGCUGCUUCCCUUUUUUACCACACAUACACACACAUACCACAGCCCUUUGAGACUGAAAGCAGCUCUAUUGAGAAUAGUAGUGUCAACUGUAUUAUGUAGAAAUUCUAAAGUUUUUGGGAUUAUUUCAUAGCCCUGACCUUGCUACUUCUCUCCACUUUAUGUGGCAGGUUUAAUCUCAGGUCUCCCUCAUACACUUCUCAGCCUCAACACCUAACCCUCACACAACACUCCAGUAUUGAUGCAAUCAAUCUUGUAUAACAUUUUUUGAAUGUCCAAUGUGCAAAGCACCAUGUUGGAAAUGAUACAGAGGUGAAUAAGACAAAAACUCUUGCUCUCAAAGAUGUCAGUCUUUUUCUUUGCAAGGAUAACACAUGUAGAGUAAAAUGCAUAAAGGGGACUAAUUUUAAAUGUACAGCUUAACUAAUUUUUAUGUAUGUUAACACCCAUGUCACCACCAUGUUUAGGACAUUUCCAACACCCCAGAAAUUUCCUUCAUGCCCCUUCCCAAUCUGCACCUACACCUCUAAAUCUAUUUUCAAUCUUAAUGGCCUUUUAAAUAACUGGGCCUCUCACAACCAUAGUGAACAGCAACAGCUGGAUUGUCAACGUUUAACCUAAUACUUCAGGAAAACUCGUGAUAGUUUCCAUGUUAAGAGAGACAUGGAGCAGGGCAUUGGGCAUGGUGGAUGGAUCACUCCUGUAAUCCCAGCACUUUGGGAGGCCGAGGUAGGGGGAUUGCUUGAGCCCAGGAGUUCAAGACCAGCCUGGGUAAUAUAAGGAAAACCUGUCUCUGCAAAAAAAAAAAGAAAAAGAAAAAGCCAGGCAUGGUGACAUGUGCCUGUGGUCCCAGCUAUUAGGGAGGCUGGGGUGGGAGGAUCCCUUGAGCCCAGGAGGUUGAGUCUGUAGUGAGCAGUGAUUACGCCGCUGCACUGCAGCCUGGGCAAGACCCUGUCUCAAAAAAAAAAAGACUUGGAAUUGGUGAUCCAGGCUGCCUAAUGGCAUCAAAUAAUUUGUUAUAUCUUUAAUUCAUUUAUUGAAGGAUCACCACAUGCUUUUAAAUAGCAUGGAGAAAUGGAAAGAAUAGGGACUUUUUACUCAGGUAAUACCCAGCCUGCUACCUAACAGGUUGUGUUGUACUAAAUAAAAUGGUACAUAAGAAGAAACACUGUAAAUUAUAUAGUUCGAAUCAAAUAUUGUUAAUAAACCAAUAUAUGUAUAUCCUAUGUCCCUGAUUAAUCUUUAAUUUAGAUACUCCUUCUAGUUAUCUAAUACACAGCAGAGUGAGAAAAAUAUUAUGGAUUAGGUUCUUUAGUAAGAAACCUGAGAUGGACUUCUCAUUAGCAUUAACUAGUUAUUGUCCAGCUUUGGAGAGCCUUCUUUUGGCUUAUCAUUUAUUAUAAGCCCAGAAAUAGGUGACUAAUCAGAGAUAAAUGUAUGGGUUGUCUGUAUCUAGUUUUAUGCCCUUUUUUGCCUAAGACGUAGUCAAAUUAAUAUUUUAACUAAUACAUCUUAGCAGAGUUUAGUUAAGCACAAAGUUAACAGUGGGUAAGAUUGAAUCUUGAAAGUAAUCAUGUCUGUAAUGUUUUUCAUGCAUGCAAAAAACACAGACAAAACCACUCAUGCCCUAUUAAUAAACAAAAUACAGAUCAAAGUUUUAAAAAGUAAUCACUCUAUUUAUUCUAAAUGUCUGUGGCUUUAGGAAAAUACCACCAGCUAGUACUUACCUAUUUAAAGAUGUAGAAUUUAUUAUCCUCUAAUAUUCUUAUCACUUGUUUCCACAACUUUAGUUUACUAUUGGACUUUCAAAAAUUUAAAGAAUUACAAGUAAAAUUCAUUAAACACCUGUGUGUGAAUAUUAAUACACAGUAAUUAGUACAGAAUGUUGCUUCUUCAAAUUGAGUUUUCAGGGAAAUCAGCAAGUAAAUGAAAUACAAAUUUUUGGUAAAAGUAUCAAACAUUCAUCUUGCCCAUUUUUCCUCUUAAACUUUAUUAUCUAAUCAAACAUAGUUUUCCAUAAGAUGUAAUAAAAUAUAGAUAAGGUUGGAAUAUUUGAGGAUCCAUUUGUGGAAUUGAAUUUAAUGAGACUUCAUUGGUGAUACACUCGAUUUUUACUGGGUAAUUAGCUGGUAAUGUUGGUCACUGUCUCACAGUUCAAGUAGCUUUAAGAUGACGUGGCAAGGAAAACACAAAGCUUUUGGGUAACCAGCAUUCUUAAAUGUAUGGUUUUUGACCAGGUGAACCCUUUAGAAGUGAUUUCUGUUUUAAAAGUAUGUACUUAAAAUACCUUUGGCUGUGAUGAAUCUAGAUCCCAGCAGAAUACCAAAAUCCUAUUUUUUUGACUGAGUAUUUGUAUAUGCUUAAUGACUGAAAUGAAUUUGGAGGUACUGAUGAAAGUCAUUUUUUAAAGUUCUCAGGUACUGUUCAAUUAUUUAAUGUUAAGUUUAGUAUCAAGAUGCAAUUGUUUUUAAAAUGCCAAAAUGCCGUUUAUUAUACAGAAUAUUUUAUUACAUUUGUAAUAUCUUUGUAUACAGUGAUGUUUUUCUUGAUAAUAUAAUAAAUGGAAAAAUUCGAAAA